CUAAUUCUACCUUUUAUCUGUAGGAGCUGAAUGCCAAAGCAGCUUCUCUUUUUGAAACAAAUGAUGAUCACUCCGUAACUGAGGGCAUUAAUGUGAUGAAUGAACUGAUCAUCCCCUGCAUUCACCUUAUCAUUAAUAAUGACAUUUCCAAGGAUGAUCUGGAUGCCAUUGAGGUCAUGAGAAACCAUUGGUGCUCUUACCUUGGGCAAGAUAUUGCAGAAAAUCUGCAGCUGUGCCUAGGGGAGUUUCUACCCAGACUUCUAGAUCCUUCUGCAGAAAUCAUCGUCUUGAAAGAGCCUCCAACUAUUCGACCCAAUUCUCCCUAUGACCUAUGUAGCCGAUUUGCAGCUGUCAUGGAGUCAAUUCAGGGAGUUUCAACUGUGACAGUGAAAUAAGCUCCCACAUGUUCAAGGCCCAUUCUGGUUCCUGGCUGCCUGCCUCUUGCACAGAAGUUCGUUGUCAUAGCGCUCACCUUGGGAAAAGGAUUAGGUGGGCACAUAAGAUUCCGAUCAGACCCCAACCAUGCUGCAUGUGUAAAGAAGGAUUGAAAAUAAAAUUGCACUUUUUAGGUACAAAAUCAUAAACGCUGUUUCACUAGAAAAGGCAGAAAGCAGUGUAUUAAGGUGUUGAAUUACGCCAGAAGACCUGAAAUGCCU
rnacentral:sRNA from 1 species